rnacentral:snoRNA from 1 species
CUGUAGUAAUUAAGUCAACAGGGUUCCUUUUCUCUUGGUGUUCAGUGGCUGCAAAUAGCAACCUUCUUGGAAGUGUAUGCAGGUCUCAUGUAUGGGCUGCCCUGAGCAACCUUGGAGACAGUC